AUUGAACGCUGGCGGCAGGCCUAACACAUGCAAGUCGAGCGGAUGAAGGGAGCUUGCUCCUGGAUUCAGCGGCGGACGGGUGAGUAAUGCCUAGGAAUCUGCCUGGUAGUGGGGGGUAACGUCCGGAGACGGGCGCUAAUACCGCAUACGUCCUGAGGGAGAAGGUGGGGGAGCUUCGGACUCGGCGGUAGCGGAUGGGCCGGGGGCUGAUUAGCUAGUUGGUGGGUGAGUGGCUUACCAAGGCGAUGAUCGGUAGGUGGCCUGAGAGGGGGAUCGGCCACCUUGGGACUGAGAUACGGCCCAGACUCCUACGGGAGGCAGCAGUGGGGAAUAUUGCACAAUGGGCGGAAGCCUGAUGCAGCAACGCCGCGUGCGGGAUGACGGCCUUCGGGUUGUAAACCGCUUUCGCCUGUGACGAAGCGUGAGUGACGGUAAUGGGUAAAGAAGCACCGGCUAACUACGUG
rnacentral:rRNA from 1 species